rnacentral:piRNA from 1 species
UGUCAUGGUGCGCCUGCGCAGCUCU